GCCUGAUCUCAGAUAACUGCAACUUUAGGACAUUGUGUGCAGUCUCAUCACAGGUGUGAUCUCACUGAGGAUUCAUAUCUCCUUUAUGAGAUAGCUGGUGCUGUCAUCUCAUCCCCACUUUACAGAUGAGGAAACAGAGAUACAGGUGGAGCCUCAAGCCACUGGAGCUGCAGUGCCUCCUGUCCUCAGUCAGGGCCUGUGAUCUGGUCACCACCAACCUGAAUCUCAGAGUGUGGGCAAGAUGGCCCCGAUGCCAAGAGCUUCGUGCUGAACCUGGGCAACAACAUGUGCCUGUACUUCAGCCUUCCCUCCAGUGCACAUGGGGACGCCAACACCGUUGUGUGUAGCAGCCAGGACGGCAGGACCUGGGGACCGAGCAGGGGGAGUCUGCCUUUCCCUUCUAGCCUGGGAGUGUCACAGAGGGAGCUGUGCAUCGCCUCUGACAGGCAGACCUGGCCAUCAUGCUGCCAGAUGGAUACACUUUCAAGUUCCCCAACCUGGAGGCUUCAAGCUGGA